rnacentral:lncRNA from 1 species
AUUAUAAGAAAAUAAGUUAAAUUAUACCAUAAAUAAAUAAUAUUAAUAAAGUGAGAUGUGGGACCCGUACAACAUUGCUCAAAGUUGUAGUUUUGGACCUUUUUGGGGCUCAAGGACCCACAUAGCACGGUGCAGGUAUAGCACGUGUCGUACACUACAACACAGUACGAAAAUGUUUUGGUAAGUCAAGUGGUACGGCAUGGUAAGCACGCGAGGUCGAUUGUGCUGGAAAUUUUAGACACAUGAGCUUUAAAAGAAAAAUAUAGUUAGAGAUUGGUUAGAAUAUAGUAUGUGAAAA